UUAAAGGAGACCUACCCGCUCAGAUAUUGAAAACAAUUUGUGAUUAGAUAUUGAGUUGGUCAUCCUAUAGGUCGGUCGCGACAGUUGUUUAUUGCUUUCAAACUAUAUUUUGGUUCGUAUGGGCUAUUAGCUCAGGUGGUUAGAGCGCC
rnacentral:misc_RNA from 1 species